rnacentral:rRNA from 1 species
GAUGAACGCUGGCGGCGUGCCUAAUACAUGCAAGUCGAGCGAACGGACGAGAAGCUUGCUUCUCUGAUGUUAGCGGCGGACGGGUGAGUAACACGUGGAUAACCUACCUAUAAGACUGGGAUAACUUCGGGAAACCGGAGCUAAUACCGGAUAAUAUUUUGAACCGCAUGGUUCAAAAGUGAAAGACGGUCUUGCUGUCACUUAUAGAUGGAUCCGCGCUGCAUUAGCUAGUUGGUAAGGUAACGGCUUACCAAGGCAACGAUGCAUAGCCGACCUGAGAGGGUGAUCGGCCACACUGGAACUGAGACACGGUCCAGACUCCUACGGGAGGCAGCAGUAGGGAAUCUUCCGCAAUGGGCGAAAGCCUGACGGAGCAACGCCGCGUGAGUGAUGAAGGUCUUCGGAUCGUAAAACUCUGUUAUUAGGGAAGAACAUAUGGUAAGUAACUGUGCACAUCUUGACGGUACCUAAUCAGAAAGCCACGGCUAACUACGU